rnacentral:rRNA from 1 species
UGGGGGAUAUUGCACAAUGGGCGAAAGCCUGAUGCAGCGACGCCGCGUGGGGGAUGAAGGCCUUCGGGUUGUAAACUUCUUUUGCCCUGAACAAGGCAUGCCUUUGGGGUGUGUUGAGUGUAGGGGUUGAUUAGCGCCGGCUAACUACGUGCCAGCAGCCGCGGUAAUACGUAGGGCGCGAGCGUUGUCCGGAAUUAUUGGGCGUAAAGGGCUUGUAGGUGGCUGGUUGCGUCUGUCGUGAAAGCUCAUGGCUUAACUGUGGGUUUGCGGUGGGUACGGGCUGGCUUGAGUGCAGUAGGGGAGGCUGGAAUUCCUGGUGUAGCGGUGGAAUGCGCAGAUAUCAGGAGGAAUACCGGUGGCGAAGGCGGGUCUCUGGGCUGUUGCUGACGCUGAGGAGCGAAAGCGUGGGGAGCGAACAGG